rnacentral:lncRNA from 1 species
AAAGUCCGAGGGCGAGAACGGCUUACAUGCGUAUAUGUGUAUGUGUGUACGGCUUUUCGUCUUCCGCCUGCGAUGGAAUUCGCUUCGAAAAUCGAAACUGCUUUAAAUGCUUCGCGAAGUCUCGCCUUUUCCGACGUCGAAGAUUCAGGUUUCGAGGAUGACGGUAGUAAUAAGAGGGGAGUGAUCGAAGAUGUUGUUGUCGACCAGUGCCUAAGCAUUUCUAGGCCAAAGCCCCACCUCCACCCCCCCCAAAAAAAUAAUAAUAAAAAAGAAAAGAGCAAGCGCCGAGGAGUACAUAAUUGUCUAAAUAAUUAUUAGGAUAAAAAUUGCAAAAAUUUCCAGACUUUAUCUAUUGUAACACAUUUAUCAUGAUUUAUUUAUGUGAUACAUUUACUCUAGAUUUAUACAACGUAACACAUUUAUCUCAAGCUUAUUUUUUGUAACACCAAAGUCACGAACUUUUUAGUGACAUCAAAAGACCCCAAAUUUAUAUGUGUGUAACAUAUUUACAUGAAAAAUUUAGUGUCACAAAAAAAAAAUUGAGAAUUUUUGAUGUCACAAAAGAUAAAUUUGAGAUAUAUAUGUCACGGUUUUUGGCAUCAAAGAAGAAAAUUGGAUUGAAUGUGUCAAAGUGGGCAAAGUUUGGGAUUUUUAGUGUCAAAAAAUAAUUUAUGGUAAAUGUAUCGCUUUGGAUAAAGUAUGAAAUUUUUGUGUAGCUUUCUCCCUAAUUAUUAGAAAAACAUGGGGGAGAUAGUAUAUAAUAUAAAGUUUUCACUUAUUCUACAGCAAUAUAAAUCUUGCAUCUUGUAAACUAAUGAAGAUCAUACCUUCCAGACUCAAUAAAUUGAAAUCACCUUCUUGAACAUAUGAGCGGUAGCUUCGUCAAUCGAGCAAGAUAUUUAUGAUCACGCGUCAUGUCGCGCAAGACUUUCACAAGCCUACUUGGAACGAAGAACCGUCAAAAUGCUAGUAACGAGGAAAGGAAAUCGCUUUAAGAAGUUAAAAAAUCAGUCUGGCCAGAGAAUGAAGAAAGGAUCUGGCAGGAUCCACGGGGUAAUGUACAUGUACAUGAUAUCUUCAUGAAUAUUUGGCAUGAACUUGUUUCUGAUUAUUAUUUCUAACUACUAUAGACUACAUGAUUACAGGGAUUGCAGAGUAUAUGUCUUCACCACAAAGUCAGCCAAAACAGAAAAACCCAAAGGAAAAGAAAAUGGGAGAGGAAGUAGACACUCUUGACAUGCUCACUGCUCCGGCUCAACUGAAUGAAAAUUCACAUACAUCAUUCCGUUUCAUCCUUCAACCUUGUACAUCGCAAAUUUCGCAUCUCAGAAUCCAAGAUCUGAUUCUCCUCUGCUGUUUGUGAGUUUCUUUCUUUCCCCUUACUGUCCUCUUACGCCGCCGUGAGUUCCAUGCUAUUGUAUGCAAAAUCCACCUCGGACAUCAAAACAAGAGACACAUCACAGUGCAGGUGUCCUGCUUUUAAUCAACUUAUUGGUGAUUUCCAGCAUCGAGAUCAAUUGAGUCUAAAAAGCAGCCCUUUCCUAGAGAGCCAAGGUGAAAAUUUGUGCCUUGCCCCCUCCUCAAAGCCCCGGUGUCGAUUAUACUGGCACUUUUAUCAACAACUACCUCUUCCGCUCCAUCUUAUAAAAACAAAAACCUCUAAAAAAUUCCUUCGACUUCUCUUCUAAGUUAAGAAACGAUUCAGAAGCGCAUAGGACAGGACUUCAUUAUGCACUGCUCAAGUUGCUUUUAUUAACACCUUGUAGCUCCAUAGGAGAAUUGUUUAUACUGCCAACUGAGCCAAGGGUCUGAGAACUCAACUGUGGACUAGCGGGACAAGCUUCUGGAUUACCAGCACUCAUGCCAUGCAUAGUCCCAGAGCUGAUCUGUUGUGGGCUCACUAGGGUUCUUUGGCUCAUUUGCUGGGGACUAGACUGCUGUUGCUGCUGUUGGGAUUGUGAACUCAAUUGUGGAAUUGCCAUGUUUGAAGGUGAACUUAUUUGUGGUGGUGACAUAACAGCUUGCAAGGGUGAGGUUGUUUCUAGCUGAUGCAGCUGCUGCUGCUGCUGCAAUUGGAGUUGCUGCUGUUGCUGCUGUGGUUGCUGUUGCUGUUGGUGCAAUUGCAUCUGCUGCUGCUGGUGCUGCAGCUGCAUUGGCUGCUGCUGCUGCUGAUUCAUAUAUGGAUUCAUCCCUGUCAACUUUGGUGGGCCCAUUGCCCCCAUUGCUGCACGCUGCAUGUUAGCUCGAUUUGAGGCCAACAUUUGCAGGCCAGCAGGGCCCGGAAGCAUCGGUCGAGGUCCAGAGACACCACCCAUGCCAGGCUGAGUGCCCCCUAACACAGCUUGACUCUGUCUCGCCCCCUGAAAUCUUGGCAAAUUAGCGGGUUGCAUCAGUCGCUGGUUGCCAAUGUGAGAGGCCUGACCAAUGUUUGGCAUUUGGCCCAUGGAUGCUGAAAUUCCAGGCCCUCCCAUCCCCUUUGCGCCUGCCAUAUUUAUGGUGUUACUGAUGCUACUAAGCCCAGCCAAGUUACCACCCAUGUUUCCCAUGCCCAUAGCAGCUCCUAUCACCAUUUGUCUUUGCAACAUCGAUUGUCGUUGCUGCUGCUGCUGCUGCUGUUGCGCUUGCUGUGGCUGUUGCUGCUGUAAAAUCUGAAGAUGCGGAGGUGGUGGCUUAUUUGCCAUGUGAUUGCCCAACUGAAUACUGGCAUUCAACUGUGAGAGGGGAUUUGUAGCAAGCGUCAUUGGGGAUCUUGCAAACUGAGCAAGAUGCUGUUGAACCAUAGGAUUUUGGUGCUGCUGCUGCAGCUGCUGAGCCUGUUGCUGCAAUGAGGACUGUGAAUCUAGCUGUUGUGGUCGUCCAGGCACAGAGACUCCCGGAGCUAUUUGUGAGGCAUGAGGGUUUCCAGGAGGCAGCAUCCUUGCAUGUGGAGGAAUAUUCACAGAUGAACUAAGAGAUACGUUGCCACUAUUAGAGGUAGGCAACACUUCACUGGACAAUUGACCUGAAACUCCUUCAGGACAGCGGGGGAUAUCGGCAAUGGAAUUAUUAUGAGGAAUUCCAGGAGCAUUAGGUUGAUUGCUUGGAGCAAGAUUCAUGCGGGUCGGUUUUGGUUGGACCUGAUCUUCCACAUGAAAUCCUUCGCGUGUCAUCUGCAGAAACAUUCAAUAUCAUUUGAUUGAAAUGUAAAUCGAUAUCGGAUAGCUUUAAGCACUUAAGCUUGACCUGUUUUCAUAAACCUACCAAUGAGCAUAACUGGGCUCCAAGCAAAUCUGCCAAAUGCUGUAUCAGAAAUUCAAUCACAGAUGUUAGCCAUAAUGUUGAAAGAAAAACAUACUUUCUUGUGAGGCAAGGUAAGAAUAAGGCCACAUAGUGCAUAUGAUAAACAGGAAACCACAUCUUCCAAUUAUUAAGUAGGUGAACACACUGAAAUGCCAUUUGACAUUAGAAAGAUUUAUAGGCAAGACUCCUACGGUAUUUGGUAGUGUCGGAAGAUGCUCCUCUGAAGCCAGAAUAUCACCCUCUUCCAAAUCUCCAUAGUGCAUAGCAACGGUACCAUCGCUUGAUUUCUCUGACAUGAUCAUCUUGGUCUGAGGCCGGGAGACAACAGUCCCUAUACAAACAGGAGAAAGCCCAUGUUAAUCGAAAGAAAGUUCAUGCAAGUGAUGUUGCUUUUGUCUUUCAUUACAUUAUCCUCUCUACAACAUUAAAAUUAGCAUCUCAUCCUUCCAAAAUCAUUCAAGUUGGGUGUUGUUUAUCAAACCAAAAGACAUUCUUUUGGUGUCUUUUCUACAGGUGGUACCGUAUGUGACAGACUUUUAACACAUCGAGAUUGGGCAAGUACAAGUAACAGGAAUUUAACUCCACGCCACAUGAGAUUGGGUACUUUGCAUUGUGGCCAAUAUAAUGGUAAAUACUGCAAAAUUCUAGCAGCCAGCAGCAAUUUUAAGUCAGCAUAAAAUGAGAAGGACAGUUGUAGCAAAGUCCAAGGUACGAUUAAUAUCAGACCGGAGAAAUCAAUUUUAUGCUGCCAUAGAUCAUCUCCACAUGAAAGAUGCAACAAACCUUGAAGAUUUUGCUCUAGCUGCGAAAACUUAAGGACUCUAGUCUUGCAAAUAUUCGUGCUGCCUCCUACCAGUGACUUCAAGAGUGGUCUGGCACAUGAGUCAUCCUUAAAAUUCACAUCGUUGGAGACAUUGUGUAGACAUACCAAAAGAUUCUCAGUCAGGAAGGCACCAGGCUUUGUGGCUGGGUAACCUGCCUUGUUCUUUUUGUGGUCUAUUUGGUGCCUGAAGCAUCAUUGGAUGAGGGACAGUACUCAGAAUGAAAUGAAUUAUAUAUUUGAUAUUUAUAUCAGAAAACAGAUGCCAAUAAUUGCCUGAGAAAAAUAAUGUAACAAUGCUUCUGGAUGCACAUGUAAAGCACGUGGACUAAGAAUAUUUCGAACUUACGUUUUCAAGAUUUACUGUACUUCAUAUUACUUAACUCAAUUACGAGUCAAAGUCAAGCAGCAAGCACAAUAGCAACAUAUAAGUUGUCAUGGUUGCAGCAUGGUAAUUAGAGCAUCCUAUGCUUUAAAGAAGGACAAAGCUUACUGAUAUAAUCCACAUCUAAAUGCCAUCUAGAUCAGCCUCAUGAUCAAGAACGCAAUUAGAUCAUUUUUCAAACUAUUGUCUCACUGGGAGCUAGAAAUUUAAAACUCGUGACAACAGAUAGAUGUUGUAGACAUCUAUCCUUAAUCUACAUUUCCAUCAGAGGUAGAUGUUCGCUAAAAAGCUAUUAAUUUAAUAGGAAUACAUCCUGAAAACAGAUCAAAGUUCCUGAUUGCUCUGAAAAUCAUUAGCCAACCACCAUAAAUACUCCAACUGGCUUCGCCUAUAAUCAUGUAAAUUGGUGCUUUACAUAGAAAAAAUAAGAUUGGUAUCCCAGUUUUUCAAGUUCUAGACAACCAGCUUUGCUGCAUUGCUGAUGCGGCUAACUAAACUUUUUCUCAUCCUCGAUAUUAUCAUUAAGACUCUGUAUUAACAAACUCCGGGCAAGUAAAUUACUGAAGAGAAAUUAUAAACUAUAAAACUGAAAAAUGUCUGACUAGCAGAAAUACAGGAGGGAAAACAAGACAGAGCAACAGGCUUCAGAGCUCAAUCAACCUCAUACCUCGUCAUAAUUGUAUCAAUCUUUAAAAACUUCUCAAGCAUUGUCUGAUCAACCAGAGGUGGGGUUCCAACAGAAGGACUGCUCGCAUUUAAUGCAACACCAAUGUUGCUCACGCUAGCAGGAGAGCCAACACCGCUGAUUAUUGGCGUCUUUGGAAGUGAAUUCUGUCUUCGUUUUGCAGCAGCCUGAGCCUGGUUCUGUUGUAGUGUUGAAUCAUUGGCACUAGAUGUUAAAGAUCCUGUCGCUCCAACAGGAGGAACUGAGGUUAUUCCAGCCCUUUCCUUGGGCAACAAUCCAGGCACAGGAGUUGCUGCAGCUGCCCCAUACUGUGGUCCAGCUGAACUGCUAGAAAAUUCCCCUGAUUUUGAUGACAAGGGAGAUUGAGCCAAGGUUCCACCAGAUAGGCGUGGGCUUUGCACUGCUUUCCUUUUUUGUAUCUGUUCCUCCUCUUUCAAAUUACUAUCAAUCUGCUGAUUGACGUUACUAUCAAAUCUUCCAUCCCCUGUGAAGUCCUCAGCAAGCACCGAAUCUUCAAAGCCAGCAAUACUUUUCGUUUCCUCGCUUUUACCACUAGCGGAAUGUGAAGGUUGCUGAAGCUCACUUGGCGGAAAGUAACUAUUUUUGUUGGGUGAAAGAGAAUCAUUCUCUGUUUCCUCGCUGUGAGUUUCGUCAAUUUGGAUUCUGUUCAUGCCCAAAUUAAGUUCCGGGUCUGCAGGCUGAGAAGACAAGCAACAUAUUGAUUUCAAUCUACUUAAUACCUGAGCAGCAGUGAUUCAAGUCAAAGGCCCCCCGGAACUAAAAUGGUUUCUAAUUUGUUGCGAAAAAGAAGUCACAUUGAGAGAUAGAUGAUACCACGGACUUCAGUUUACUAUAAUAAACUAAAGGAACUUACAAGUGCAGAAAUACAGUAGACAUGAAGCUGAAUUGUUACAUCAGCACUAAUCUUUUACCGAUGAAACAAACAAGCAGCGAUGUCUGCUAUCAAUUUUGUCCAUAGAUUUCCAUCAUCUGUCGUACGCAUGCAUUAAUAAUGCUCAUUCAUCCCAUGUUAAUCACACUUCCGAUUUUCGCCGACAGAUAAAUCCUUUUUUCUCUUUCAGUCCAACAGUGAGGGUUCGGUUCUUUUUCUUGCGAACUUUAAAAUUAUGCAAUUGUUUCUCCAUGUAUUCUUUCAUUAAGGGACGUGUAUCGCGCGGUGCAUCAUUUCUAGUUCACCUAAAAAUAAAAAGGUCAUUGUCAUUACCAUAACGUCACAAACACCCCCAUCAUAUCUACUAGCCAAAAAGCAGACUUUACUGAAACCCAUUGCAACAGAGAGAUGAACUUAUCUACUCCCAAAAUCAAACCCAGAAAAACAAGAGCAAAACGACGCAGACCCACGAGAGGAGGGACAAAGAUAAAACGAUACAACGACCGGACAAAUAACAAGUGCAUAAGAGAAGAGAGAGGGGACACGAGGAAAUUACAGAGGAGCGACGAUGCGCAGGACCACCCACCGGACGCCAAGCUCGGCCUCCCGGCGGGGCGGAGCUCGAUCCCACGUCGCUUGCUCUCCUGCCGCGAUUCAUCUGCUCCGGAAUUCGGAACUUGGGCCGUCGCAAAGAUCGGGUUUUUCCUCUUGUAGCGAGAGAAAGUCCGAGGACGAGAACGGCUUACAUACGUAUAUGUGCAUGCGUGUACGGCUUUCCGUCUUCCGCCUGCGAUGGAUUUCGCUGCGAAAAUCGAAACUGCUUUAAAUGCUUCGCGAAGUCUCGCCUUUUCCGACGUCGAAGAUUCAGGUUUCGAGGAUGACGGUAGUAAUAAGAGGGGAGUGAUCGAAAAUGUUGUUGUCGACCAGUGCC